rnacentral:tRNA from 1 species
UCUGAUGUGACUCAGUGUUAGAGUGCUUGCCUGGCAUGUCUGGAGCCCUGGGUUAGAUCCCCAGCAACACAC